GCGGGCCUGGCCGAGUGGUUAGGCGCCAGCCUUCCAAGCUGUGUAUAUCGGUUCGAUUCCGAUGGCCCGCUCCA
rnacentral:tRNA from 1 species